ensembl:rRNA 5S_rRNA 5S ribosomal RNA
GCUUACGGCCAUACCACCCUGAGAACGCCCGAUCUCGUCUGAUCUCGGAAGCUAAGCAGGGUCGGGCCUGGUUAGUACUUGGAUGGGAGACCCCCUGGGAAUACCAGGUGCUGUAAGCU